rnacentral:snRNA from 1 species
GUGAGCCUGUAUACCAGGCCC